UACGGAGGGUGCAAACGUUGCUCGGAAUCAUUGGGCGUAAAGCGCACGUAGGCGGCUUUUUAAGUCAGGGGUGAAAGGCCAGGGCUCAACCUUGGAACUGCCUUUGAGACUGGAUCGCUUGAACACGGGAGAGGUGAGUGGAAUUCCGAGUGUAGAGGUGAAAUUCGUAGAUAUUCGGAAGAACACCAGUGGCGAAGGCGGCUCACUGGACCGUUGUUGACGCUGAGGUGCGAAAGCGUGGGGAGCAAACAGG
rnacentral:rRNA from 1 species